GUGGGGAAUUUUGGACAAUGGGCGCAAGCCUGAUCCAGCAAUGCCGCGUGCAGGAAGAAGGCCUUCGGGUUGUAAACUGCUUUUGUACGGAACGAAACGGUCCGGGUUAAUACCCUGGGCUAAUGACGGUACCGUAAGAAUAAGCACCGGCUAACUACGUGCCAGCAGCCGCGGUAAUACGUAGGGUGCAAGCGUUAAUCGGAAUUACUGGGCGUAAAGCGUGCGCAGGCGGUUUUGUAAGACAGGCGUGAAAUCCCCGGGCUCAACCUGGGAAUUGCGCUUGUGACUGCAAGGAUGGAGUGCGGCAGAGGGGGAUGGAAUUCCGCGUGUAGCAGUGAAAUGCGUAGAUAUGCGGAGGAACACCGAUGGCGAAGGCAAUCCCCUGGGCCUGCACUGACGCUCAUGCACGAAAGCGUGGGGAGCAAACAGGAUUAGAUACCCCGGUAGUCC
rnacentral:rRNA from 1 species